UUACUCCUGGCUAAGCUAAACUUUAUGAUUAAUCGAGAGUACCAGAAUUGGUAUAUUCAUUUCGACGGAGGAAGUUUUGUUCCUAGCCCCCUUGAGAAACAAUUGAAUUACCCAUUUCAUUUUUUUAUUCUCAAAAUUUUCAUAGCUAUUAUAUGUAUAUUCUUAUGCUGGCGCAUAAAGAACAAAAAGAGAAAGAAUGAAAAGUGUCAGGAGAGCAAUCAUGUACGGGAAAUGAAAAGUGUUAGGAGAGCAAUCAUGUACGGGCUAGGGUCCUAUUUAAAAAUUUAUCUUAGGUAAAUUCUGCC
rnacentral:lncRNA from 1 species